GUCCUGGUUUAGUCCUGGUUUAGUCCUGGUUUAGUCCUGGGUUAGUCCUGGUUUAGUCCUGGUUUAGUCCUGGUUUAGUCCUGGUUUAGUCCUGGUUUAGUCUCAUUUUAGUCCUGGUUUAGUCCUGGUUUAGACCUGGUUUAGUCCCGGUUUAGUCCUGGUUUAGUCCAGGUUUAGUCCUGGUUUAGUCCUGGUUUAGACCUGGUUUAGUCCUGGUUUAGUCCUGGUUUAGACCUGGUUUAGUCCUGGUUUAGUCCUGGUUUAGUCCUGGUUUAGUCCUGGUUUAGACCUGGUUUAGUCCUGGUUUAGUCCUGGUUUAGUCCUGGUUUAGUCCUGGUUUAGACCUGGUUUAGUCCUGGUUUAGUCCUGGUUUAGUCCCGGUUUAGUCCUGGUUUAGUCCUGGUUUAGUCCUGGUUUAGUCCUGGUUCAGUCCUGGUUUAGUCCUGGUUCAGUCCUGGUUUAGUCCUGGUUCAGUCCUGGUUUAGUCCUGGUUUAGUCCUGGUUCAGUCCUGGUU
ensembl:lncRNA